GUUCCUGUAGCUUACAAUAAAGCAUGGCACUGAAGAUGCCAAGACGGCCCUACACUCACCCAGGGACA
rnacentral:tRNA from 1 species